GCCGCCCAGUGGCUGGAGGAAGUCCAGAAGAAGGAAACCAGGCAGCCCGGGAGGAAAAGAGGAAGCAAGGGGAGGAGGCCUAGAGGCGGCGCGCGGGGAGUAGGCCCCUCUAGGGACGCUCUGGAAGGGUCCUCCCUGUCCCUCCUCCCGGGUGGGGCAGCGGCGUGGACUGAGCCCUGGCUGGGAAGGUCUGAGUUCCGGAUCUCACACCCUGCGAUAGACCAGCUGUUAGAACUGUGUGUCACCUUGGGCAAGUCGCACAAGAAACGUGAAUCUUCCCGAGCCUUUUUCUGCACCAGUAUAAUAGAGUCAUAAUAUCUGUGUAUCUCACGAAGUAAUGUGAGAACUCUACCAGGUAACCUGUCUAACACACUCGGCAAACAGUAAAACCCUGCACAACUUCACGGAAUUCACACUGGAUCGAGCCUCGUCCCCCAGCAACUCCAGGCACGCCUAUCUUUCUAUUGUUGGGUUAAGGGACAGGAAUCAGCACCGCGCAAUUUAAGGCCUGGCUGUCCAUCGCAUGUCACUUCUAUUUCCCUUACUGUAUUGUACCGCUUAUUGAGCUAGGGUAUUCUCUGCUGAAUACUUUGUUUCUCUUCUGUACCAGUGGGUUGCAAUGGGCCGUCUAUGAAUAGGAGCUAAUCAAUGAUGAUGUUUUUACCGUUCAGCUAGGAAAUGAGAUUUUUAAAAAGAACAAUGUAGGGAGUUUUUCAUUAAGGGAAAUAGUAUUCCGUUCUGUGCUUCCUAGUUUUGUAGAGUUGAAAUUAUUUUAUUUCAUGAAAUAAUGCUUAUGGUAGAUGAUGACUUUAAUAUUCCAUGUAAGUUCAAUGUCAGGGUUUUUUGUUUGUUUAACUCCAGAAACCUUAGAAACCUGCUUUUCUGUAGCAUUGAGAACAGCGCUUGGUACAUAUUAGACAUUGAAUACUCCUAUCUUGAAAUUAUUCAGUCUUCGAUGCAGUGCACUUUUGCUGAGUAUCUGCUAGACACCAGUUGUUAAGCUAAGUGCCUGGGGUACAGUUUGAAUAAGUCCGGCACAAUUCCUCUUCCUGUGGUGUUCAUAGCCUAACUCACAUUUUAGCAGACGCACAAGAAAACAGGUCACGACACUUCCACGUGCUGCCCUUGAUAUGGGAAGAAAAGGAUGCUGGGGAGCACAACGAAGAGAUGCCUAGCCUGAUCCUUCUAGUUAAAUAUUGACAGAGGAAGAGGAUGUCAUCCUUAGCUAAAGGGUAAAAGAUUUUAGGCUGGGUGUGGUGGCUGACGCCUGUAAUCCCAACACUUUGGGAAGCUGAGGCGGGAGGAUCGCUUGAGCCCAGGAGUUCAAGAUGAGGCUAGGCAACAGAGGGAGACCCCCUCUCUACAAAAAAAUUUAAAAAAAUUAGCUGGGUGUGGUGAUGCACAUCUGUGGUCCUGGCUACUCAGAGGAUGAGGUAGGGGUAUUGUUUGGGCCCGGGAGGUCAAGGCUGCAGUGAACCGUGAUCAUACCACUGCACUCCAGCUGGGGCAUCAGAGAAAGACCCUGUCUCAAGAAAAAAAAGAAAAAAAGAAAAAAAAAGAUUUUAGGAAUUGUAUUAUUUCCCCUUAUAGCCUUACUUCUUCCUGGGAAUACCAGGAACCUCAUUUCCACUUCUGCCUCCCUGCAUGGCUCCCACAGUGUCUAGUUUGCCUCAGAACUGGCCUGUAGAUGGCCUGUAAUAACUUACAGUGGAGAGAUUCAGGAAUUCAGAGAAUUCAGGAUUGUAGAAAGGGGACACUGUGGGCACAGCCCACCUCUCCCCCAAUUCAUUUUCAUUAUUUAUUAUUUAUUUGUGAAUGCUUAGAAUGCAACAUAUGUUGGACAUUUCAAAAUAAUGGCCACAAAUUUUCCAUUCCUGAUUCUGUAGAUUUAAAAGUUACAGGGCUGAGCGCAGUGGCUUAUGCCUGUAAUCCCAGCACUUUGGGAGGCUGAGGCUGGUGAAUCAUUUGAACUCAGGAGUUCAAGAUCAGCCUGGCCAACAUGGUGAAAUACCAUCUCUACUAAAAAUACAAAAAAUUAGCCGGGCAGUAGUGGCACACACCUGUAAUCUCAGCUACUCGGGAGGCUGAGGCAGGAGAAUUGCUUGAGCCUAGGAGGCAGAGGUUGGAGUGAGCCAACACUGCGCCACUGCACUCCAGCCUGCAUGACAGAGUGAGACCCUGUCUCAAAAAAAAAAAAAAAACAGUAAAAAGUUACAAUAAAUUAUAAGCAAAAAUAAAAAUAAAGCUACCUAUAGACAUGUUUUAGUUAAAUUGAAGAAAACCAAGACAUAAAGAUCUUACAGCAGUGGAAGAAAAGAGACAGAUUAUCUACAAAAGAAUGGCAAUUAGAAAUUGGACCAAGGGGCCAGGUAUGUUGGCUCACACCUAUAAUCCCAGCACUUUGGGAGGCCGAGGCGGGCGGAUCACCUGAGGUUGGGAGUUCGAGACCAGCCUGACCAACAUGGAGAAACCCUGUCUCUACUGAAAAUACAAAAUUAGCCAGGCAUGGUGGCGCAUGCCUGUAAUCCCAGGUACUCCGGAAGCUGAGGCAGGAGAAUCACUUGAACCUGGGAGGCGGAGGUUGUGGUGAGCCGAGAUCACGCCAUUGCACUCCAGCUUCGGCAACAAGAGCAAAACUCCGUCUCAAAAUAAGAAACUGGACCAAGGGCAGACCUCUCAUUAGCAACAUACAAGCUGGAGACAUUAUCUUCAAAAUACUGAGAAAAAAAAGCCAACUGUCAAAUUGGAAUUGUAUACCCAACUAAACUAUUAUUUGGUCAUGUGCAGUGGCUCAAGCCUAUAAUCCCAGCACUUUAGGAGGCUGAGGCAGGAAGAUCUCUUUAGCCAAGGAGUUCCAGACCAGCCUGGGCAACAUAGGGAGACCCUGUCUUUAUAAAAAUAAAUAAAAUUAAAAAUGAA